GAUGAACGCUAGCGGCAGGCUUAAUACAUGCAAGUCGAGGGGCAGCACAGGUAGCAAUACCGGGUGGCGACCGGCAAACGGGUGCGGAACACGUACAGAACCUUCCUUUAAGCGGGGAGUAGCCCGGACGAAAUACCGGAUUAAUACCCACUAGUAAUAUUGUCUGGCAUCAGAUGAUAUUUAAAGUAUUUAUCACUUAAAGAUGGCUGUGCGGCUGAUUAGGUAGUUGGUGCAGGUAAAGGCUCACCAAGCCGGCGAUCAGUAACUGGUGUGAGAGCACGACCAGUCACACGGGC
rnacentral:rRNA from 1 species